rnacentral:rRNA from 1 species
UACGGAGGGUGCAAGCGUUAUCCGGAUUCACUGGGUUUAAAGGGUGCGUAGGUGGGUUGUUAAGUCCGUGGUGAAAUCUCCGAGCUUAACUCGGAAACUGCCGUGGAUACUAUCAAUCUUGAAUACUGUGGAGGUAAGCGGAAUAUGUCAUGUAGCGGUGAAAUGCUUAGAUAUGACAUAGAACACCGAUAGCGAAGGCAGCUUGCUACACAGUCAUUGACACUGAGGCACGAAAGCGUGGGGAGCAAACAGG